rnacentral:rRNA from 1 species
AUUGAACGCUGGCGGCAGGCCUAACACAUGCAAGUCGAACGGUAACAGGAAACAGCUUGCUGUUUCGCUGACGAGUGGCGGGCGGGUGAGUAAUGUCUGGGAAACUGCCUGAUGGAGGGGGAUAACUACUGGAGACGGUAGCUAAUACCGCAUAACGUCGCAAGACCAAAGAGGGGGACCUUCGGGCCUCUUGCCAUCGGAUGUGCCCAGAUGGGAUUAGCUAGUAGGUGGGGUAACGGCUCACCUAGGCGACGAUCCCUAGCUGGUCUGAGAGGAUGACCAGCCACACUGGAACUGAGACACGGUCCAGACUCCUACGGGAGGCAGCAGUGGGGAAUAUUGCACAAUGGGCGCAAGCCUGAUGCAGCCAUGCCGCGUGUAUGAAGAAGGCCUUCGGGUUGUAAAGUACUUUCAGCGGGGAUGAAGGGAGUAAAGUUAAUACCUUUGCUCAUUGACGUUACCCGCAGAAGAAGCACCGGCUAACUCCGUG